UACGAAGGGGGCUAGCGUUGCUCGGAAUCACUGGGCGUAAAGGGCGCGUAGGCGGCCUUGCAAGUCGGUUGGUGAAAACCCGUGGCUCAACCAUGUGGUCUGCAGUCGAUACGGGCAGGCUAGAAUUCGGUAGGGGAGAUCGGAAUUCCUGGUGUAGCGGUGAAAUGCGCAGAUAUCAGGAGGAACACCGGUGGCGAAGGCGGAUCUCUGGGCCAUUACUGACGCUGAGGAGCGAAAGCGUGGGGAGCGAACAGG
rnacentral:rRNA from 1 species